rnacentral:rRNA from 1 species
GAAGCAAAGCCGCGAGGUAGAGCAAAUCUCAAAAAAACAAUCUCAGUUCAGACUGCAGGCUGCAACUCGCCUGCACGAAGUCGGAAUUGCUAGUAAUCGUAGGUCAGCAUACUACGGUGAAUACGUUCCCGGGCCUUGUACACACCGCCCGUCACACCAUGAGAGUCGGGAACACCCGAAGUCCGUAGUCUAACCGCAAGGGGGACGCGGCCGAAGGUGGGUUCGAUAAUUGGGGUGAAGUCGUAACAAGGUAGC